rnacentral:rRNA from 1 species
AACGCCGCGUGAACGAUGAAGGUCUUCGGAUCGUAAAGUUCUGUUGUCAGGGAAGAACAAGUGCCGUGCGAAUAGAGCGGCACCUUGACGGUACCUGACGAGGAAGCCCCGGCUAACUACGUGCCAGCACCCUCGGUGACUGAGCGGGCUGGCAAGGCGCAUA